AGUGGCGGACGGGUGAGUAACGCGUGGUAACCUGCCUCACACUGGGGGACAACAGUUAGAAAUGACUGCUAAUACCGCAUAAGCGCACAGGACCGCAUGGUCCGGUGUGAAAAACUCCGGUGGUGUGAGAUGGACCCGCGUUUGAUUAGCUAGUUGGUGGGGUAACGGCCUACCAAGGCGACGAUCAAUAGCCGACCUGAGAGGGUGACCGGCCACAUUGGGACUGAGACACGGCCCAA
rnacentral:rRNA from 1 species